AGAGAGAGAGAUGAAGAGGCGCCGUGAGAAAGUGAUCUUUUUCUCCCUCCUCCUCCUCCUCUUCCCGUUUUCUCUUCAAAGCAACCAAGACGAAAACCAAGAAUUAUGUGACCAGCAGACUCCAAUGUGCUCGCAAGAAGUGUCCCAGCUAGCCAGGUCUUCAGCAUCGGCCGUUCACCUAACACCAGUGAACGCUCGUGUGCAUUCCGGCGUCCUUGAGGGGUGUGAGGGCGCUUCAGUUACCAUGAGCUGUGUGAACCAAACUUAUUUCUACUUUAGCUACCUUUCUCCCCUCACCACUGUCACCCUUACCUGUGCCGAGGGGAAGUGGGUGCUCUCCUCACCUGCCCCUCAUUUCGUGGAGACUCACCUGUGGGAAACGCGACUUAAUGGAUGUCACGAAAGAGCACAGUGUUACCUGGAGUACUUAUUGGAGAGUGACAUGCGAGUGACGAGUGGCUGGGACGUGGAAGGAGAGUUGGUCACGAAAGAGGGGAGGGUGGAGCGACUGGAAUGGAACGAGAAAGUGGAAGAGGGUGAGACAUUAAUCCUGAAGGGCAGCGAGGGGGACGAGGUGGACAUGACCUGCUACGAGCCUAAUUCACUCCUGUGGUCCCAUAGUGAGGUGGUUUCCCGCUACACCUUCCAUUGCAACGACUAUGGCAAAUGGAAGAGGCGGAAGAACAAGUGCUAUGAAGUUUGUCAGACGCAAAAAGGGGAAGUGUGCCGUUUUCCCUUCCUUUACGGGGGUGUGGAGUACGACAGAUGCUUGGAGGUGGAUGGGCAGGAGUUUCCCAUGUGUGGAGUGGCAUACUAUGUGCAGAACUCCUCGGAACUCCACCUUUGUAAUAUGAAUUCUGACAACAGUAAAUGCAACCAAAAUUCACAUGAGAAAUUAGUGUGUGGAGGUGAGUGUAUAUUAAUUUUCUUCUUCUCUUUUAUAUUCUCUUCCUCUGUUUCUCUUCCUUCUCUUCCUUUCCUCUUUCAGUCGUAACUAUUCUGGCUUCCUCUCUUCUCUCUCUCUUAUCUCUCUGAAUCUAUCCAAUUUUAUUUUCUAUCUACCUGCUAUCUACUUAUUCAUCUACCUGUCCACUUGUGUGUCUAUCUACUCUAUUUAUCAAUCUGUCUAUGUACUCUUUAUCUAUCAAUCUCUCUGUUCUUCUAUCUACUUAAUUCAUCUAUCUAUUAUUUCAUCUAUUUAUCUAUCUAUCUACUUAUUUUUUUUAUUCCUCUAUCUUUUUAUCGAUUCCUCUACCUCACUACAUGUUCAUCUAUCUCCCUAUCUACCUAUCUAAUCCAUCUUCUUCAGGAGGGCCAGACUGCCUAUAAGGUCCUUCUCUAUCUAUUUAUAUCUCUAUUCCUUAUCUCUUAAACAAUUCCUCUUUCUCUCUACUUGCUUAUAUAUUUACCUGUCCAUCUAUCUAUCUGUCUAUCUAUUUAUUUAUCGAUCUAUCUAUCUUUGUCUUCAGAAUGGCCAGAGUGCCUAUAUGAACAUUCUCUAUCUAUCUGUCUGUCUCUUUAUUCCUCUAUUUCUUUACCAAUCCAUCUACAUCUCUACUACCUUAUCUAUCUCCCUCUCUAUCUCUCCAUCUAGCCUCUCUUUGCCUUCAGGAGGGCCGGAGUGCAUUGCCUCCUUGAACCUUCACGGAGAUGCACGCCUUACCUACAGCCUGGCCACUGCACCAAGGGAGGAGGUGGAAGUUUACCCUAGCUAUAUCUCGUCUGACUUACAGGGUUGUCACGGGGAAAGCUUCUCUCUCACCUGUCCCGAGGGUCACGAGGUGUGGGUGUAUGUCGGGGCAAGUGGGUAUAUCUUCCACCACCACGAGCUUUUCACACAGUGCCUCUUGUCUGAAUCUCAUCUUUAUUUCCUAUACGAGGACGAUUACAUUAGUUAUAUCUUCUAUACUGACAGCGUUUAUGAUAUUCACUGCUCUGCUCCUGUUAGUGAUGCUUCUACUACUACUACUACUACUUCUGCUGCUACUACUACUACUACUACUACUACUGGUGUUACUUUCUUUACCGCUAAUGUUUCUGUUUUUAAUGAUACUACUACUUCUACUGCUGCUACUACUACUACUGAUGUUGCUAAUACUACUACUACUACUGCUGCUGCUAAUGUCACUACUACUACUACUACUGUUGCUAAUGAUUC
rnacentral:misc_RNA from 1 species